GCGGGGGUAAAAUCUACAUCUGGCAUGAUUCAUCACCCUAGUGAUAACACAUAGUACAUCGGUAAGGGUCACCAAGUUCCAGACGCAUCCUGAGAAAUGUGAAGACUGUGAUUCCAGCAAUGAGGAGGAGACCUCGGUCACUGGGUUGAAAGAUGUGAUGAGGCAACAUGUGAUGCCCAUUCUUGAUGGAAACAAACCAGCAAAGGGUUUUUCUCAUUGUUUUAAGUGCUUUUAAUGAAUUGAUUCAUUAACCACAGAGAUAUUUUCCACAGCACCACUUACUGCCGAACUUUCUGCCAAGAACAAGGCCAAAGGCAAAGAUCUCCGGACAGCUGCAGCAUCAGGGAAGACUGAUGCAGUUAUAUCAUCCCCCCGACCCCAUCCAGGCAGAAGAACUGCUUCUCCCCCUCCCCUCUUCCCAUCCCAUUAACUUGAAAUAUAUCCCUUGAAGGCUUCCCCAUAUUAAACUAUCCAGCCAAACACCAGAUAAUGACUCCCUUCUCCACAGCCUGUCCACACUGCCAUUAUCACAUCUUUUUCUCUGAAAGACCAUCCCGACAUUAUUUAUCACUGUACCCAGUACUCAGAGAAUGCCUAAUACACAGACUCACUCCAUAGUGAGUUAAACUUCAUUUAAAUGUGCCUCAAAGCUACACUGAAGCAGAAAGAACUACUGGUACCCCUGGAAGCCACACCUGCUCUUCCUAUGCUCCAGGGCUCUGUGCCAUUCCUGCAGCUUGAGCCAGGAGGAAUGUUUGCAAGGAUACCAGCCAUUUUGCCAAUGUGCACAGUUUUUCUUUAGUCAUUACUGGAGGAGACUGACUUUCUUCUAUUUCAAAUAUCUAAAGAUCACUUUCAGAGCAAACUGGGAGUAAACUAACUGGAUGGGCUAAUCCUACCUUGGAUCGUCCUCUGCCAUUUCAUUGUUAGAAUCCAUUUCUGCAGGAGUAUUUCACAUAUUUUACUGUCAGUGUCUCUGCAAAC
rnacentral:lncRNA from 1 species